rnacentral:lncRNA from 12 species
AUGAUAACGGUUCUAAACACUUUUGACCUGAUUCAGCAUGUGCAUGGACCCACACACAAAGGUGAACACACUCUAGAUCUAAUCAUCAGUAGAGGUCUAAACAUUUCAUCCAUUGUUAUUAAAGAUCACUUCUGUAUUUUCUGUGAUAUAUUGAUCUCUGCUACCACUGUAUCUAGAUCUGUUUCUGUCAGAAAGAGAUGCAUUAACGAGAACACUAGUGUGCGGUUUAUCGAGGCUAUAUCUCUAACACCAAGCAUUUCUGCAGACUCUGUUGAUAUUCUCCUUGAUUCCUUUAACUCAGAAGUUAAGAAUGUUAUUGAUGAUAUUGCUCCUGUAAUAGUCAGCGAGAAGACUGGCAGACAGAAAUCAGUUUGGAGAAAAUCAAUAGAAGUUCAGACUAUGAAAAGACAAUGCAGAAAAGCCGAGCGGAUGUGGCGGAAGACGAAACUUGAAAUUCACUAUAGCAUCUAUAAAGACAGCCUUCAUGCUUUCAAUGCUGAACUAGCCACAGCUAGACAGAGUUUCUUCUCAAACCUUAUAAACAGUAACUUAAACAACACUCGUACUCUUUUUGCCACUGUUGAGAGACUGACAAACCCCUCAAGUCAGAUUCCCAGUGAAAUGCUCUCAGACAGCAAAGUGCUCAACUGUUUAGAAGUAGAUCUCUUAGAAAUGGUGAACACCUCACUUCUUUCUGGGACUUUUCCAAACUCCCUGAAAACUGCAGUUGUAAAACCCCUUCUGAAAAAGAGCAAUCUUGAUAACACCAUUUUUAGCAAUUAUAGACCAAUAUCAAAUCUUCCUUUUAUAGGCAAAAUUAUUGAAAAGGUAGUUUUUAAUCAGCUGAACAAAUACUUAAACUCAAAUGGAUACCUGGACAAUUUUCAAUCUGGUUUCCGACUGCAUCACAGCACAGAGACAGCGCUCAUUAAGAUAAUUAAUUAUAUUUGCUUAAAUUCUGACUCUGUCAAAAUAUCAGUGCUGGUAUUGCUAGAUCUCAGUGCUGCGUUUGACACUGUCGAUCAUAACAUACUACUAGAGAGACUGGAAAACUGGGUCGGGCUUUCUGGGAUGGUACUCAAAUGGUUCAGGUCAUACUUAGAAGGGAGAGGUUAUUAUGUGAGUAUAGGAGAGCAUAAGUCUAAGUGGACGUCCAUGACAUGCGGAGUCCCACAAGGC